rnacentral:rRNA from 1 species
GGCAAAGUUAAUAAGGGCGCACGGUGGAUGCCUUGGCAUUAAGAGCCGAAGAAGGACGUGACUAACGACGAUAUUCUAGGGGGAGCAGUAAGUACGCAUUGAUCCCUAGGUCUCCGAAUGGGGAAACCCACUAUGUUAUGCAUAGUAUCCGUAAGUGAAUACAUAGCUUACGCGAAGGUAACGCAGAGAACUGAAACAUCUAAGUACCUGCAGGAAGAGAAAGUAAAAACGAUUUCCUAAGUAGCGGCGAGCGAACGGGAAACAGGCCAAACCAAGAAGCUUGCUUCUUGGGGUUGUAGGACUGCAACGUGGACUUAAAGUCUAUAGAAGAAUUACCUGGGAAGGUAAGCCAAAGAGAGUAAUAGCCUCGUAUUUGAAAUAGACUUUAUACCUAGCAGUAUCCUGAGUAGGGCUGGACACGCGAAAUCCAGUUUGAAUCCGGGAGGACCAUCUCCCAAGCCUAAAUACUCCUUAAUGACCGAUAGUGAACCAGUACCGUGAGGGAAAGGUGAAAAGAACCCCGGGAGGGGAGUGAAAUAGCACCUGAAACCGUGUGCCUACAAGAAGUUCGAGCCCGUCAAUGGGUGAGAGCGUGCCUUUUGUAGAAUGAACCGGCGAGUUACGUUAUGAUGCGAGGUUAAGCUGAAGAGGCGGAGCCGUAGCGAAAGCGAGUCUGAAUAGGGCGCUUUAGUAUCAUGAUGUAGACCCGAAACCUAGUGACCUAUCCAUGAGCAGGUUGAAGGUGCGGUAAGACGCACUGGAGGACCGAACCAGGACACGUUGAAAAGUGUUUGGAUGACUUGUGGAUAGCGGAGAAAUUCCAAACGAACUGGGAGAUAGCUGGUUCUCUCCGAAAUAGCUUUAGGGCUAGCGUCGCAAUUUAAGUGUAUUGGAGGUAGAGCACUGUUUGGAUGAGGGGCCCAUCUCGGGUUACCAAUUUCAGAUAAACUCCGAAUGCUAAUACACAUGUGCGGCAGUCAGACUGCGAGUGCUAAGAUCCGUAGUCGAAAGGGAAACAGCCCAGACCACCAGCUAAGGUCCCAAAAUAUAUGUUAAGUGGAAAAGGAUGUGGGGUUGCACAGACAACUAGGAUGUUAGCUCAGAAGCAGCUAUCAUUCAAAGAGUGCGUAAUAGCUCACUAGUCGAGUGACCCUGCGCCGAAAAUGUACCGGGGCUAAACAUAUUACCGAAGCUGUGGAUUUAAUAUUAAUUAAAUGGUAGGAGAGCGUUGUAAUCAGCGAUGAAGGUAUACCGUGAGGGGUGCUGGAGCGAUUACAAGUGAGAAUGCCGGUAUGAGUAGCGCAAGAUAAGUGAGAAUCUUAUCCACCGUAAGACUAAGGUUUCCAGGGGAAGGCUCGUCCGCCCUGGGUUAGUCGGGACCUAAGGCGAGGCCGAAAGGCGUAGUCGAUGGACAACAGGUUGAUAUUCCUGUACUAGUAUUGUUAGUGAUGGAGGGACGCAGUAGGCUAAAGGGAGCCAGUUAAUGGAUUCUGGUCUAAGCAGUGAGGUGUGGAAUGUGUCAAAUGCAUUUUCCUUUAACAUUGAGCUGUGAUGGGGAAGCAACUACGGUUGCGAAGCCCUUGAUGUCACACUGCCAAGAAAAUCUUCUAGCGUUUAAUUCAAUACUACCCGUACCGCAAACCGACACAGGUAGUCGAGGCGAGUAGCCUCAGGUGAUCGAGAGAACUCUCGUUAAGGAACUCGGCAAAAUGACCCCGUAACUUCGGGAGAAGGGGUGCUGUAGAAAUACAGCCGCAGUGAAAAGAUCCAAGCAACUGUUUAUCAAAAACACAGCUCUCUGCUAAACCGCAAGGUGAUGUAUAGGGGGUGACGCCUGCCCGGUGCUGGAAGGUUAAGAGGAGGGGUUAGCUUAGGCGAAGCUCUGAAUUGAAGCCCCAGUAAACGGCGGCCGUAACUAUAACGGUCCUAAGGUAGCGAAAUUCCUUGUCGGGUAAGUUCCGACCCGCACGAAAGGCGUAAUGAUUUGGAUACUGUCUCAACGAGAGACUCGGUGAAAUUUUAGUACCUGUGAAGAUGCAGGUUACCCGCGACAGGACGGAAAGACCCCAUGGAGCUUUACUGCAGAUUGAUAUUGAGUACCUGUGAAGCAUGUACAGGAUAGGUAGGAGACUUUGACCUUGGGACGCUAGUUUCAAGUGAGUCGCUGUUGGGAUACUACCCUUGCUUCAUGGUUGCUCUAACCCACACGCAUAAUCGGCGUGGGAGACAGUGUCUGUCGGGCAGUUUGACUGGGGCGGUCGCCUCCUAAAGAGUAACGGAGGCGCCCAAAGGUUCCCUCAACAUGGUUGGAAAUCAUGUGUAGAGUGUAAAGGUAUAAGGGAGCUUGACUGCGAGAGCUACAACUCGAGCAGGUAGGAAACUAGGGCUUAGUGAUCCGGUGGUACCGCAUGGAAGGGCCAUCGCUCAACGGAUAAAAGCUACCCUGGGGAUAACAGGCUUAUCUCCCCAAGAGUUCACAUCGACGGGGAGGUUUGGCACCUCGAUGUCGGCUCGUCGCAUCCUGGGGCUGUAGUCGGUCCCAAGGGUUGGGCUGUUCGCCCAUUAAAGCGGCACGCGAGCUGGGUUCAGAACGUCGUGAGACAGUUCGGUCCCUAUCCGUCGCGGGCGUAGGAAAUUUGAGAGGAUCUGCCCUUAGUACGAGAGGACCGGGGUGGACUUACCGCUGGUGUACCAGUUGUUCCGCCAGGAGCACCGCUGGGUAGCUAUGUAGGGAAGGGAUAAGCGCUGAAAGCAUCUAAGUGCGAAGCCCACCUCAAGAUGAGAUUUCCCAUUCUUUAUGAAUUAAGAGCCCUGAGAGAUGAUCAGGUUGAUAGGCUGGAAGUGGAAGUCCUGCGAGGGAUGGAGCGGACCAGUACUAAUAGCUCGAGGACUUUACCAA